rnacentral:rRNA from 2 species
UACGAAGGGGGCUAGCGUUGUUCGGAAUUACUGGGCGUAAAGCGCGCGCAGGCGGUUUUUCAAGUCAGUGGUGAAAGCCCGGAGCUCAACUCCGGAAAUGCCAUUGAAACUGUAAAACUUGAGGACGAGAGAGGUGAGUGGAAUUCCCAGUGUAGAGGUGAAAUUCGUAGAUAUUGGGAAGAACACCGGUGGCGAAGGCGGCUCACUGGCUCGUUUCUGACGCUCAGGCGCGAUAGCGUGGGGAUCAAACAGG